rnacentral:tRNA from 2 species
GCAUUAGUGGUUCAGUGGCAGAAUUCUUGCCUGUCAUGUGGGAGGCCCAGGUUCGAUUCCUGGCCAAUGCA